GAAUAUGAGGGUGAUCUGGCUGUGACAUCUGUUAUCCCAUUGGUCACCAGGGUUGAUUCAGCUGAUCUGGCUGGCUAGGUGGAUGUCCCCUUCCUCCCUCACUGCUCCAUGUGCAUCCCUCCCAAAGCUGCAUGCUAGGUUGAAGAGGACGACCAUCCCCAAUAGAGGAGGACCGUUCUUUGGUCAAGGGUAUAUGAGUAGCUGCGAUCCCUUGCUAGAACCUCCAAACAACCUCUCAAAUGUUUAUAAUUGAAGUGUUCACCAUAGCCAGGUUAAAGUACCACUCUAGGUGUCCAUCAACAACAGAAUUAAAAACAAUUGUUUU
rnacentral:snRNA from 1 species